rnacentral:rRNA from 1 species
AUUGAACGCUGGCGGCAGGCCUAACACAUGCAAGUCGAGCGGAGCGGCGGACGGGUGAGUAAUGCCUGGGAAUCUGCCUGUUCGUGGGGGAUAACGUCCGGAACGGGGCGCUAAUACAGCAUACUAUCAGAUGAGCCUAGGUCGGAUUAGCUAGUUGGGGGGUUAAAGGCCUACCAAGCCGACGAUCAGUAACUGGUCUGAGAGGAUGAUCAGUCACACGGGAACUGAGACAGGGUCCAGACUCCUACGGGAGGCAGCUGUGGGGAAUAUUGGACAAUGGGCGAAAGCCUGAUCCAGCCAUGCCGCUGGUGUGAAGAAGGUCUUCGGAUUGUAAAGCACUUUAAGUUGGGAGGCGUUACCAACAGAAUAAGCACCGGCUAACUUCGUGCCAGCAGCCGCGGUAAUAC